rnacentral:rRNA from 1 species
UACGAAGGGGGCUAGCGUUGCUCGGAAUCACUGGGCGUAAAGCGCACGUAGGCGGCUUCUUAAGUCAGGGGUGAAAUCCUGGAGCUCAACUCCAGAACUGCCCUUGAUACUGAGGAGCUCGAGUCCGGAAGAGGUGAGUGGAACUGCGAGUGUAGAGGUGAAUUCGUAGAUAUUCGCAAGAACACCAGUGGCGAAGGCGGCUCACUGGUCCGGUACUGACGCUGAGGAGCGAAGCC